CGCUACGGCUAGAAGACACCGUGCUUCUUGACGGGUCGUCAACAAUUGGUUCAGCCUAUGGAUCGUUUGGUGCCUCAAAUUAUCCGCCUAAGAAGGAGGUGGCUCUAUGUGCAUCGGCUGAGAUGGGAAGAUGUUGAGCGUCGAUGGAGGUCUCAUCGCCAAAUUCUCUGCCAUAAGAUUCAUAGAUGAGUCAUGUGACCAUGUAUGGGAAAUGGUCUAGUUAUAACAAGUCAUGUCUAUAAAUAUAUGAGUGGACUAGUUCUUCUAAUUAGAGAGAGAGAGAGAGAAAGAAAAGGGUUUAAAGAAAGAGUUAGAAGUGUAAGAGAUAUGGUUUUGAAAGAUUUGAUGUCUGAAAAGAGAGGAUCUGGUCAAAGGCUCAAAGCUGAAAGUAUAGAGAGUACUGAUGGCAGAAGAAAGAUUGAAAUCUGUUUGGCAUGCUU